AUACUGCUUUUGAUUGGACAGAAUUGGUGCCGGAGUAAGGAAGGGGCGGGCCAUCAAGGACCGAGGUGGGUGGGGCUCACGGCGGGUGUGCGGAGUGGGCGGGAAAACGUGGAGCCCGGGGAGAGGCCCCGCUGGGAGUUCUAGUUAGGCUUUGACAGUUGAUGACACCGGAAACUCCGGGGAAACUAAGGCACAGAGAAGUUAGCCUGUGGCUGAGAAGAUUUGAGCUCAGGUCUGUCUGACUGGCUGGUGCCCAGCACUGCCGGGCGACAAGACAGGCAGUUUCUGCAGGCGUGGGACUCACAGUGCGGCUGGUUCCAGCUAGAGGGAUCAUGGAGGUGUCUGUGAAAGAGAAGGUCCUUGAAGGAUACAGAGCAUUUGGCUUUGGGAUAGGGUACUUUUCAGCCAGGACAUUUCAGAGCAAACCAUCAGAGAUCUGCCUGUCCACAAGAGCCAUGUUUUUUUUGCUUUCUUCCUCCACGCUCUAAAUUUCCCAGAGUCUGACCUUCGCAGGGAAGACUAUGAUUUUCCAACACUGCCUGCCACUUAGUGGAGAAGAUUAAUUUGGGGGUUCAGGAGUAGUAAGCCCACUUGUCUUUCAGACCUGAAAGUACAUCUCUAUCAGCUUCGUCAGUAUUAAAGGUGGUAUUUUGAUCUCCCUCUGCCCUACUUCUGUAGCUCUCUCUCAUUUGGUUCUAAACUUGGGUGAGGAUACUCCAAAACCCAACAAUUUCUCAUGGAUGCUGUGAUUGGACUGACUCAGCUCAACUGUUUUCUGUAUCUAUGUAAUUCUACUCAAGAUUCAGAGUCCUGGCUUGGCUUGGAUCUCAUGUUCACCUCCUGGCAAAAGUGGAGAGUACCUUGAUCCACAGUUCCCUCACGCUGCAAGGAAUGGGAAAAGUAGUUCCCCAAAAGCGAAUGAUGACAGUUUCCAAAAUAAGAAGGGAAGAGCUAUUGGGCAUGGAGAAACGACAGAUGUCCACUGCAGGGAGCUAUUGCAAAUGUCCUGGAGAAAGAUGGCUUGUUCUAGAGGAGGCCAUGUCUUGAGCAUCCCUGUGGAGAAGUCAACGUGGCAAGGAACUGAAUCCUCCUGCCAACAGCUGUGUGAGUGAGCUUGCUGUGAGCGGACCCUUCAGCCCCAGUUACAGCCUUCACGUGUCUACAGCCUUGGCUGACUUCCUGACUACAAACUCCUGUGAGACCCUGAAGCGGGCCACCCAGCUAAGCAGCCUCCUGAUUCCAGACUCUCAGAAACCGUGUGAGAUAAUAAAUGUUUGUUGUUUUAAGCCAU
rnacentral:lncRNA from 1 species